CCCGGUCCCCACCCUAAUCACACUCUUUCAACCCGGCCACCCUAAUCUAAUCGAAAGAGCUCACAUCCCCUUUCACCCUGGCCACCCUAAUCCCUCGAGCUCACAACAGCGCCGCAGCCCCACUCCCCCUUUUCCCCUCUCCAGCGCACACAACACAAUACUCACACGCACCACCUCACCCACGCGGAAGAGGAGAGCUCGAGGAAGGAGACGCCGCCUUGCUGCCAGCUUCGUCGAAGACCAGCUCGCCGCCGCUGUCGAGUCAAACCCGAGAGGGAGUGUGUGCAGCGAUGAGAGAGGAGGAGCCGUCACCAAACGCGUCGCCGCCGCUGGAGGAGCUUUGCUCUUCGUCGCCGCCGAGGAGGGGAAAGAGGAGUUGCUCCCUCGCCAGUCACCGUCGUGCUUCCUGGUUGCCGAUGAGGGAGCCGCGAGAACCGUUGCCGUCGCGAGAAGGGGGACGCGCAAGAGGGAGCCCUCAGUAUGAUCGCUGUCGCAGCUGUUGAGUAAAUCUUCGAUCAUCAUUUUUUUUAAUAUAAUAAAUCUGUGCUUUUAAUUGUUAUUACUCUUUUCCAAUUGAUUUUAGGAAAUCGAAGUUUUACAGAUUCGACAAGGAAGGGAACCGGUGGAAGGAGAGAACAUAUGGUACCGUCAAGUUUCCGAAGAACAAGGUUACUAGCAGGGUUUGGCUUCUCAUCUGAACAAAAUUGAUUUGUGCUUCUUUGUUUAUGUUUAUUAUCUGAUUCAUUUGUGCUUCCCUAGUUCCCUGAUUCUUCCGUUCGUAAGUAGUUAGAGAAGUUUAAAUGAUAUUUGUUUGAGCCUUAUAUAAUUGGUUCAUUUGUGCAACUAAGUUUUGUUCUUUUUUUUGUGUUUAUGCUGAACAAAAUCAUUGCUGAGUGUGGUUCUUUAGCUGUAAGCACUCCAAAUUAUUGAAAAAGAACUUCUCUCAAGAGCUUCAAAAGCUUGAGGAGUAUUGCAUGAACCAGAAAUCCAUUGAUUCAAUGUACAAGGUUUCCAUUGGAGCAGCUUGUAAUCUUUCUUGGCCUGCUGGCUGUCUCGUGAUCCAAGUACUAGAUGAUUUAUACGGACCCCGUGGUUAAGGUGCAUAACGUACCAUGCACAGGCACACACUUGCUCUCACACUCAUGCACUCAUGGGAAGAAUUUCUAUCAAUUUGUGCUUAAUAACACUGCUAUUUUCAAUUAUAAUUGUAGUUAUACUCAACAUGCUUCAUUGUUAUUGUUUACUUCUUGUUAGCAAGAUAAAUUUUACCAUGAAAGCACCAUCAGAAACUUACUAAUCAAUUUUGCUCCUUUGUCCAUGAUAUGCAUUUGUAAAAUAGCAUUUGUAAACAUAGAAUUUGUAAAAUAGCAUCAGGGGUCCACAGCAAAGGAAAUACCGAGUUGGUAUUGAUAACCUCCUUGUGUUACUGAUUGGCGGAAUUCCUAUUGCAAUGCCAACUGUCCUUUCAGUUACAAUGGCUAUUGGUUCACACAAAUUUUCUCAGCAGGUUACAUUUAGUUUAUUGAUUCAAACAUUUUGUUGAGGUAUAUAGGAUGGAAUGUAAUGUAAUGUUGUGCUUAAGUGCCUGAGAACUAAAAUAUAGAAACACGAAGACAGAGACUACAUAGAAAAUCAGGCAAAUUUUGUUCCUAGAUAGAAACAUUUUUUUCUGUUUCUGUAUCUAUCUCCUUCAAAUAGGUUUGUACUCUAUAUUUUUGUCAUGGUGCAGUUACCAAACAGGGCCUAGUUGUUAUCCUUUAAUGAUAAAAGUUAUUACUUUAUCUUUUGUAACUUAAACAUGUUUUUUGUUCCCUUGUUGAUUUUGCUAUUUCAGGGAAGCUGUGAAACAUUUUGGUCCUGGUCCUGGUCCUGGUGUUCCUCACAGCCAUACCAAGCCUUAUGUACGAUCUAAGGGAAGGAAGUUUGAGAGGGCUAGAGGAAGAAAGAACAACAAAUGACUUGGUGUUUAAGUUGUAUUGUUUCUAUAUUUUUCUAUCUUUUUAGUUUUGGAAUUUGAAUUCGAGAUUUAUUUUGUAUUUGAAUAUUAGUUUAUUAAUGUAUAAAAUUAUUAUAGCAAAAAUUAUGUCACUAAUUAUUGUU